UCCCAGGUCGCUUUGCACAGACCCUGGUGACCUGAGGCUCCCUGGCUGUCACUCUCUCCCAUCCCCUCCGGGCCCCAGGGGUCACAGGCUGAGUCCCAGGAAAGUCUGUGGUGUCCUGACCCUGGCGUCUGGCCGCCCCUGGAAGGC
rnacentral:miRNA from 1 species